GCAAACUUGGUCAUUUAGAGGAAGUAAAAGUCGUAACAAGGUUUCCGUAGGUGAACCUGCGGAAGGAUCAUUAACAAAAAAAUUUUUGGGCCAUUUUUUAUGGCUUCAAAAAAAAAAAUACACACACUCACCCUUUGUGCAAUCACUGAGAAAAAGUUAAUCUUUGGGAGACGAGUUUCUUUUUUUGAUCUCAUCUCCCAAAGGUGUUUGUAUAAAACUUUUUUCUAUUACAUAUUUGUCUUAAGAGAUAUAAUAAAUUAAUAAAUAAUGAAACAACUUUCAACAACGGAUCUCUUGGCUCUCGCAUCGAUGAAGAACGCAGC
rnacentral:misc_RNA from 1 species